CGGGGUGUAGCUCAGUCUGGUAGAGCGCCUGCCUUGGGUGCAGGAGGUCGCAGGUUCGAAUCCUGCCGUCCCGACCA
rnacentral:tRNA from 1 species